UGACUGAAUUUUAGGUUAAGGUUAAGUCACCGUCCCGCAAUCCUAAUCUAAAGAAGUUGACAUUUGCGGAGACAAUGUUUUUCCAUAAAAAUUGGUUUUCUUGUUAAAUAAGCAUAGAUGUGACAUAGAAAAAUGUCCAAAAAGGAUACCACUUCCGAAGUUUCCAUGGGUAUCGAUUAUGAUGAUCCUGCUUAUAGAAUAAGUCCAUUACAACAGGCAGCAGCCUCAUGUACAGGAGCCCUCAUUACUUCGUUGUUCGUGACACCAUUAGAUGUUGUGAAAAUCCGAUUACAGUCUCAACAAAAGAUAUCAAAAAGCCAGUCAAAAUGUUUUUUGUAUUGUAAUGGUUUAAUGGACCAUUUUUGUAGCUGCAGUCCAGAUGAUCCUAAUAGUAGAUGGUUGCAACGACCCGGCCAUUUUAAUGGAACAAUUGAUGCUUUUAUUAAAAUUAGCAGAACAGAAGGCAUUUCUUCACUUUGGAGUGGUUUAAGUCCGACAUUAGUUUUAGCGAUACCUGCCACAAUAGUAUAUUUUGUAACAUAUGAACAAUUAAAGAAUCAUCUCAAAGAUGACCAUAGGGAUAAAUUGUUAAAAAUAGGCCAAAUACCAAGUAAGCAAACGCCACUGUGGAUACCUUUAUUAUCAGGAGCAUGUGCUAGGGUAAUAUCAGUGUCACUAGUAAGCCCUUUGGAAUUGUUUAGGACCAAAAUGCAAUCACAGAAGCUCAGUUAUUAUGAGAUGAAUCUUGCCGUAAAAGCAUUAAUAAAACAAGAUGGGCUUCGAGGUCUUUGGAAAGGAAUAUUCCCAACGUUAUAUAGAGAUGUCCCAUUUUCAGCCAUUUAUUGGAUGAACUAUGAAAGUAUCAAAUCUCUAAUGGGCGUAACAGAUAGUCAUCCUUCAUUUUGGAUAAGCUUUUUUGCUGGAGCAAUUUCUGGAUCUAUAGCGGCCUCUAUAACAACACCUUUUGACGUUGUAAAGACACAUCAACAGAUUGAAUUUGGAGAAAAAAAUCUAUAUGGAGCUGGAAAUAAAGCAAAGGCAAAUAGAUCUACUAUAGAAGUGAUAAGAGAAAUCCGAGCGGGCCAUGGGACUAGGGGACUGUUCGCCGGUUUGGCUCCAAGACUAAUCAAAGUUGCCCCUGCCUGUGCUAUUAUGAUCUCCACAUUUGAAUAUGGUAAAGUGUUCUUCAGUAAAUGGACAAAUCAACCUAUGGACCAAUUGGAUCCUGAUAUUAGUUCAACACCUAGUUUUGUAUCUAAAGAUGACAGGAAAUCGGUGAUGAUAGGCAAUAAGAUUGGAAUAUAAUUUAAGUUGGGCUAUUCCUCGUCAUAGGCAGUGGUGGGGGGUUAAAAUUAAUUGGUUUUUGAAGUUUUUAGUAAAUCUGACUGUGAUAAAUCGAUAACCGAUUCAUUAAUGCCAUUCAAAAGGUUUUAUUAUCAAGUUGUGCUACUGACUUAGGUAAUGACGUCACAAUAGGCUCGAUUGUUGAUUAUUUUGUAUGCUGACAAUGGGUGUGAGUAAAACUCAAGCUUAAGUCAAUCAGGAAGGAAGAAGAAUGGUCUCAUCGUUCACAUGUGACAUAAAUUAAUGUGUUUUUGGUAUGAAGUACCCAAUUAGUUAAAAAUAUAAAAGAAUAAGAUUAAAUAAUGCCGCCUUUUGUUUUAUUUAUUGUUACUCAUAUAAUGAAAUGAGUCCACUAAAAAUAUCAAAAUAUCAAUUUGAUGAAAAUUAUUCUUGAUAAAAAUAAUAAACUUAAAGAUAAAACCCAUAACUAAAUUAAAAUUCAUGGUGACGUUUCAAUUAUUACUUUAAUCAUCGUCAGAAUAAUAAGUUUCUUGAGCGGAUGCUUUAAAAUAAUUUUAAAGGAACAAACAAUAAUUAAUGAAAACGUAAAAAUGACAUUGACAAUCAUUGGGUUAAGUCAAUAAUUUCAAACACGCCAUGUCUUGUUGCGUGUUUAAGGGUGGCUUCAAAAGAAAUAUGGAUAAUGCCUCCUUGAUGCUGAGUUCCGUUGGAGAACUUGCAUGACCAAUGAUUGAGAAGUCCUUACGACUAAUAAGGUGGUCAGAAUCAGUCAUAUGUUGGAAUACCGCUGAAUUUGGAAUUGUUCUUGAUCGUCUUCCUAAGUGAGGAGUGACACCUAAGUAUUCGCAACAUCUGACAUUAAAGUGACGUCGAGUCUUCCCGACGUACGUAGCUGCACAGCUACUACAUUUGAAUUGGUAUAUAAUGUUAGAUGCGAGAUCACUAGGAAUCAUGUCUUUCACAUGGAAACGAGAUCACAUGGAGGCAAAGUCGUGAAAGCAAAUCUUAAUUCUAUAGAGGGAAAUGCUUUUUUAAUCUACGGAUGUUGCGUCGGAUUUGUAAGCUGUGGUAACCAGUAUAUGGAAGUUUGAUAUAGAUCUUUUCUUUGAAAAUUAUUCUGAUGAAAAUUCCAUUGUCAAUACAGGUUGCGCCAGACCUCUGGUUUUCUUUGAUUACUGCUAAGCUAUGGGGUAAACAAAAACAUGUUUUUAACAAAACUAAUGUGUAUCGAAGACGUCUAUAAUUUAAAAUUAUGUUUGGUUAUACAUUUUUGAAUAAAUUUUUUAAAAAUGUGAAGAAUUUGUAGGUUUUAUGAGAUCUAAAGUGAUAGCAGCUUUUGUGACACAAGGAAAUAUAAUUUUAUUUUAACAAAUAUUUUGACAUAUAUUUAACGUUUCUUUGUUUCAAAGCAUACAUAUUUUUGCAAAAAAAAUUAAUAAAAAAUCUGGUACAACAUAAAAUUUAUAGGUAUUUUUUUAAAUAUCUACACAACGAAACAUGCUACUACAACCAGAUAUCAAAAGAAAGGUUGUAAUUUUGCCUUAAAAUACAAUAUUAAAAUACAUUUUAUAAUUUAUAAAAAUGAGCAAAUUUUCUAUUUGCAAAAAGUGAUCGCACUGUACAUUGUAUGGCUAGAUACCAGAUAUUAAAUUAUUUACAAUAACCCUAUACUACAAAAAAUUUGACAUAUCAUUUACAUUUUUGUUACCUUGGAAAUUUAAUCCACAGCUCAUCAAAUAUUACCAUUUUCCUCAACAAAAGUGUAAAUAUUUUGAAAAUUAUUAACUAUACACCUAAAAAACCUUAUACAAACUCUUCAUAUUUUUAAAAAAUAUAUUAAAAAAUGAUUAUUUAAUAUAUAGGGUGUUUCAUUAAAAAAACACAACUUUGGUUCAUUCUGUUGUUUUGACUGACCCUGUAUAAUCGAAUAUAACUUUAAACUAUAGACGUCUUUUAUACACAAUAGUUUUGUUAUAAACAUUUUUUUGUAUACUUCAUAGUUUAGCCGGAAUAAAAGAAUACCAGAGGUUUGGCGCACCCUGUAUAUUUCGUCGGCACCUAUUUACAGUAAAUAAAGUACAGGGAACGUUUAUAAUGUAAUAAUCCUAUAGGACAUACCUAUUCAUGCACCCAUGAGUGUUGAUUGUGGCUAAAAUCAAAAUAAUUUAGCGCGUUAGGAAAUGUCCCUAAUAUAUUUAUUUUCCUGUUUUUGAAGCUGAAUUUUUUACUUUUUGGAAGUCCUCGUAUAUCAUAAUUUGUCUUAAUAAUACUUAAUUAGUUUUAAUUUCGGUACCUGUACACAAAAUGCACAUAUAUUUCCGAAAAAAGUUUUAUUUAUUUUUAAUAAACGUAAAAAACG
rnacentral:misc_RNA from 1 species